rnacentral:rRNA from 1 species
GGGUUGUGAGGUUAAGCGACUAAGCGUACACGGUGGAUGCCCUGGCAGUCAGAGGCGAUGAAGGGCGUGCUAAUCUGCGAUAAGCGCCGGUAAGGUGAUAUGAACCGUUAUAACCGGCGAUACCCGAAUGGGGAAACCCAGUGUGAUUCGUCACACUAUCAUUAACUGAAUCCAUAGGUUAAUGAGGCGAACCGGGGGAACUGAAACAUCUAAGUACCCCGAGGAAAAGAAAUCAACCGAGAUUCCCCCAGUAGCGGCGAGCGAACGGGGAGGAGCCCAGAGCCUGAAUCAGCAUGUGUGUUAGUGGAAGCGUCUGGAAAGGCGCGCGAUACAGGGUGACAGCCCCGUACACAAAAGCGCAUGUGCUGUGAGCUCGAUGAGUAGGGCGGGACACGUGGUAUCCUGUCUGAAUAUGGGGGGACCAUCCUCCAAGGCUAAAUACUCCUGACUGACCGAUAGUGAACCAGUACCGUGAGGGAAAGGCGAAAAGAACCCCGGCGAGGGGAGUGAAAAAGAACCUGAAACCGUGUACGUACAAGCAGUGGGAGCACAGGUUUACCUGUGUGACUGCGUACCUUUUGUAUAAUGGGUCAGCGACUUAUAUUCUGUAGCAAGGUUAA